CUUGGUCAUUUAGAGGAAGUAAAAGUCGUAACAAGGUUUCCGUAGGUGAACCUGCGGAAGGAUCAUUAGUGAACGCCCUCACGGGCUUAUAACUAUUCCAAACCUCUGUGAACCGUGCCCUUCGGGGCUAUUUUACAAACAUGGUGUAAUGAACGUCAUAUAUCAUAACAAAACAAAACUUUCAACAACGGAUCUCUUGGCUCUCGCAUCGAUGAAGAACGCAGCGAAAUGCGAUAAGUAAUGUGAAUUGCAGAAUUCAGUGAAUCAUCGAAUCUUUGAACGCACCUUGCGCCCUCUGGUAUUCCGGAGGGCAUGCCUGUUUGAGUGUCAUGUAGACUCAAUCCCUCGGGUUUCCGAGGAGAUUGGACUUGGGUGUUGCCGCUCUGCCGGCUCGCCUUAAAAGACUUAGCGGGAUAGCACAGUAGUCGGCGUAAUAAGUUUCGUCGGUGAAGGUUGUGAUGACUGCUUACAAUCGCCCUCGGGCAAUUUUUGACUCUGACCUCAAGUCAGGUAGGACUACCCGCUGAACUUAAGCAUAUCAAUAAGCGGAGGA
rnacentral:rRNA from 1 species